AUUGAACGCUGGCGGCAUGCCUUACACAUGCAAGUCGAACGGCAGCACGGGGGCAACCCUGGUGGCGAGUGGCGAACGGGUGAGUAAUACAUCGGAACGUGUCCUGUCGUGGGGGAUAACUAGUCGAAAGAUUAGCUAAUACCGCAUGAGAUCGAGAGAUGAAAGCAGGGGACCGCAAGGCCUUGCGCGAUUGGAGCGGCCGAUGUCGGAUUAGCAGUUGGCGGGGUAAAGCCCACCAAGGCGACGAUCCGUAGCUGGUUUGAGAGGAUGGCCAGCCACAUUGGGACUGAGACACGGCCCAGACUCCUACGGGAGGCAGCAGUGGGGAAUAUUGCGCAAUGGACGAAAGUCUGACGCAGCGACGCCGCGUGUGGGAUGACGGUCUUCGGAUUGUAAACCACUGUCGGGAGGGACG
rnacentral:rRNA from 1 species